ACUCAUAUAAUGAGUUACUUUAGAUUCCGCUUCAAGACAUAUUGGGUGUUGCAAGCCCGAGUUUUUGAUGCU